rnacentral:rRNA from 1 species
GACUUGACAUCUCCUCGAAUUACCCGUAACCUGGGGAAGGCUCUUCGGAGCAGGGAAGACAGGUGGUGCAUGGUUGUCGUCAGCUCGUGUCGUGAGAUGUUGGGUUAAGUCCCGCAACGAGCGCAACCCUUAUCGUUAGUUGCUACCAUUAAGUUGAGCACUCUAGCGAGACUGCCCGGGUUAACCGGGAGGAAGGUGGGGAUGACGUCAAAUCAUCAUGCCCCUUAUGUCUAGGGCUACACACGUGCUACAAUGGUGAGGACAAAGAGACGCAAGACCGCGAGGUGGAGCAAAUCUCACAAACCUCAUCCCAGUUCGGAUUGCAGGCUGAAACUCGCCUGCAUGAAGCCGGAGUUGCUAGUAAUCGCGAAUCAGCAUGUCGCGGUGAAUACGUUCCCGGGCCUU